rnacentral:rRNA from 1 species
AUUGAACGCUGGCGGCAGGCCUAACACCUGCAAGUCGAGCGGAGCGGCGGACGGGUGAGUAAUGCCUAGUAAUCUGCCUGGUAGUGGGGGAUCACGUCAGGAAACGGGCGCUAAUCACACAUACUAUCAGCUGAGCCUAGGUCGGCUUAGAUAGUGGGUGGGGUAAAGGAUUACCCAGGUGACGAUCCGUAACUGGUCUGAGUGGAUGAUCAGUCACACUGGAACUGAGACACGGUCCAGACUCCUACGGGAGGCAGCAGUGGGGAAUAUUGGACAAUGGGCGAAAGCCUGAGCCAGCCAUGCCGCGUGUGUGAAGAAGGUCUUCGGAUUGUAAAGCACUUUAAGUUGGGAGGCGUUACCAACAGAAUAAGCAACGGCUAACUUCGUGCCAGCAGCCGCGGUAAUAC